CUCGGCAGAAUUUGAACUCAGAACAUAAAGACAGAUGGCCAUAAAAUACAAACAUUUCUCAUGGCACCAAUACACUGUUUACAGAUGCUUACAUUUUUUAUAUUUCAGUUUUGGAUUUGGUUUGCAAGAUUCUUUAUAUGAGUUCGUGUGUUGAAGCAUAUUCUAUUGUGUCUUUUACCGGUGAGUGUGUUAUAUUAUAAGGCACAAAAAGAAAAUGACUCUCCCCAGACACAAUAGAAUACAUUUUUAUGCUUUCCAUGAAUUUUUCAUGGGUCCAGCUUCUUCUUCUUCUUCUUCUUCUUGUUGUUGUUGUUGUUAUUUAUUAUUAUUAUUAUUAUUAUUAUUAUUAUUAUUAUUAUUAUUAUUAUUUAAGGUGGCGAACUGGCAGAAUCGUUAGCAUGCUGGAUGAAAUGCUUAGUGGUAUUUUG
rnacentral:lncRNA from 1 species